UUUUUUUUUUUUUUUUUUUUUUCUUCCCCAAAUGAUAGACUGAUGUAUUCAUGGGUGGGACAUUUAUUUUAGCCACGAAUAAUUGAACCAGCGGUUUACAAUUGAAACUUCUCUGUGCUGGUGAUUUUACGUGGCGGCCCUCUGCUGCAGUUCUAAAACUUGUUGAAAACACACACCCAUUUAUAAGACUGAGUCUAUGUAUUUUGAAAAUCUGAAAACGUUGCAUGUAUUUUAUGUUUCAAUCAUAGAUGAAUCGGACAUUUUCUGUGGUGAGGUAGAAACUUUAAGUGAAUUAGUAACGUGUAAUAAUUGGGCUUCAGAAUGGAAAUAGUCUUGACGAAAAUUUUAAAAAGCUGUGUAGCCUAAGUUCUUGAUAGUAAAAGAAGAGAAAAAUAGAUGAUCGGCGAUCUAAAAAUGAAAACCUGUUAGAACUCAGGACAGGCGCUUGAAUGCGCUUUUAACAAUAUUUAAGGCUGUUUUGAUGAAUGCAUUGUGAAAAUCAUUCUUAAUGAAUUCUUUAUGAAUGUCUAAAACAUAAUAUAAUACACAAGGUAUUCUUGCCACUGGAUAGUCUUCAAUAAAAGUUUAAUUGCAUUUUUUUGGUCUCUUAAGUAAGUCUUAUUUUUAACUAAGCCUUGACAGAAUAUUUGUAAAUGGUAACGUGGGGGGAGGGGCGCUGAGUGCGCUGCAGCCUAGUUGGGGGGGGGCGGUAUCCUGCUGUUUAUAACUAGUUCACAGACUUACUAUGGCAUUUUGCUAAGAUUUCCAUCUUGAAGAACUUGAACCAGCAUUCUCUUAUUAAUUCUCUAAACUGUGGAAAUACUCUUCCAGUUCUACACUCUGAUACGCAUCCCUUUUAUUAAAAAAAAAAUUAUAUAUAUAUAUAUGUAAUGCUAAGGAAGGCAGUGUAUUUCAAGUGUGCUUUUGCAAAUACUACAUAUGUUGUGAAUGACUACAGCCACAGGGCAAAUUAUUUGUAGAAAGAUUAUCUUUUAGCUGGAAAAAAUCAUUAAAAACAUCUUGGGCAGAGAUGUUUCUUUUUAAUGGUAAUCAAGGGGAAGUGAUUUAAAUAUGCAUGCAUCGAGCAGUCAGGAAGAUUUCGCUGUUUUUUUGAGAAAGAAAAAGACUCUCUGGGAGUUGAAACCAAAAUCAUUUGAUAUUGGUAGAGUUGGAGAAAUUUACAUUUGUUUUUCUCUUCAGAAUUGAAAGGACUUGCCCAAGGAAUCUGAGAAAUCGGGCACAUAAGUUGCUCUAUUUUAAAGUAGUCAUUCAAUAUAAAUAUAUCAAUCCUAACUUUUUUAUUCUCAGAUAUGCUGAAUAAUAUGUAUAUUAUUUUUCUUCUAAUGGGCAUAUGUAUCCUUGUGGACACUUCGGAGAGAGGUUUUCUUGGGCUCUCCCAUUUUUAGACUCUUUAUACUUCGUACUGUGUGGUCCCCUGCUUUUAACAGAUUUCUGAGGCAAAUAUAUUUGUGCUUUUUUCUUAUGUAGGAUGACCAGCGAAAAUAGUUUACUAAGUUGUCAAUUUUAUCAGUAGAGAAGAAACUUUCUUUAUUACAGCUUCAGGGAAGAUUUUUUCAGGAUAUUUCUCAGUUAUUGUAAGGGCCAAAUUUUAUAAAAUUUCCAUUAGGAAUGUCGGUUUCAAAUACCCUUUGUAUAGCCUAGGCCUGUGAGGUUACCAAGAGUCGGCCUUACGUAUCCAACACAGGAAUUCAUCCUCCCCCAAAGUAUCCAUCUCUGUAGGAUGACUCUUUCACAUGCUUUUCGGAGAUCUGGCUUCUUUUCAUUAUCGGUUCUUUCUCACUGUUCAUUUAUUGGGUUUACUCUACCAUAUUUUUCCCCCUUUUCUGUGGAGCCCCCGCUUUCAAUCACAAUAAAGAUUAAACACAAUUCAUUAACGUCAGCUCUCUUUCAAUUUGCUUUGCUCUUUGCUUUUUUUCUUCCAUCCUAACACAUCUUUUUUUUUUUUUUUUUCCCCACUGCGGUUAUUUUGUUUAAUGCUACCUAUAUCUGCCUAAUUAGUUUUAUCUACUCCAUGUGGAUGCAGUGAGUUUUUAAGAGAAUUUCACAAACAAGUAGUUUUUUAGUGAACUUAGAAUUUUAAAGGAGACCUAUUUUUAUACUCAGUAAAAGCACAAACGUGCAGAAAGUAUAAAAUGGCUUACAAAGGGAAACAUACGUUCUUAAUGUUCCAUGUAUAAAAGUAAUAAUUUUCUUGGGUAGAGAUACUCUGAAAAGAUUCAAUACCUCUGCCAGUGCACAGAUAGGACUGUUUUCCGUGACUCGGGAACUUCUGUCGCAAACAGAUCACUGCUCUGUAGAGAAAACAAACCACUAAGAGCAAUAGGGUCAAGCUGAGAUGUGGUUUGGUGUGAGCGAUCGGUGAACGGAGACAACGCAGAGGGGCAGACACGGGGGCUUCUCAAAGGUUUGAUCAAACUUCUUUGACGUAGACACGCAGACCUGGAUUUUCUCUGCUGUGAAAAUGACAGGAUGAAGCAAUAUGACAAAACCGAAAAUGUGUUUGAAAAAAGCCUUUAGGGUCCUUGAAGCAAAUUUUUGAAGCUUACCUUAUUUUAUUAGACCGAGUCCAUUCGCUCUUAAUCUUAAGAAAGAGCAGCUGGAAAUAAUGAUGCUCAUAUGCCAGGUAAAGAAUUUUGAUCAAAUAGGUAGUGACCAAGGGCCCCCUACCACAUUUUUCUUAUCCAGCUUGUGUUCAGAAACACAAUGCCCCAUCCACUGAAUCCCAGAGGGAGAAACGUUAUAUGCCAUUACCAUGACUUUCCCAUUUUGUCUAUUUUUACUCUUGUACAUAUGUUGUGGGUUUAAGAGUCUUUGGCAUUUGUUCCGUGACACCUUUUUUUGAAUGGACUGUUUUAGAAGGGGGGGGGCGCUGCUUUUCCGGUUGGGGAUGGCAGCCCACAGGGCUUCCCAAAAGCCACCAGGACAGAGCCACCUGACGCCAGAGCAGUUCCAGCAUGAUGCUGUCCAAGUCUGUAUUUUCAGAGCCACUCCAGGUUUGGGAGCAGGAAAGAAGCCCUUUUGUGUAGAAGUCUGAGUGGUCUGUGGGGGGACCUUUUGUAGAGUUUGCAUGCCAGCGCGUGACUGAAGGCUGGGAAGCAGGGACCGCUCGCUCCCCAGGCCUGCGCUGGAGGAUGACGUGUGUCCGGUAGCACUAGGGGGAGAGACAAUGCAUGGCAAAGUUUCGUCUUCUGUAGACUAGCAUGCAGAGUUUCGUGUGUUAAAACAGUGUAUGACAUUGCUGUAUCAAAGUUGUAAAAUUAAGCAUUAUUUAUUGAAAACUAUGUAUUUUUUUGUAAAAACCUGAUCACAUAGAGCAUAUCCGUGGCUGUGCUUGUACUUCAGUGGGAUCAGCUCCUUGCCCCAGCCCCCUUGGUAUGCAGUGUUAUUGCUCAGGGUUGAAAAUAGGACACCCCGAUGUCUCUUUUGCAAGAGCUUUUUCACCGAGGAAUACAUUUGUUCAAAAGACUCUAAUAAAAGUGUGUGAUCGAUCUG
rnacentral:lncRNA from 1 species